GAACGAGCUUCCAGGGCCCGGUCCCGCUCGCGCUCCGCAGCUGGGCCACCCGCUCGGGCUGGCGCCUGUUCCCUGAUCUACGCGCCGGGAAGGGACGGACGGCGGGGACCCCGGCUGCGUCAGCGGAGGGGGGCCCCGCUGGGUCCGUGCGCGGGUCUGGGGAGGACGGGCAGCGUCCGUUCCCCGGGCCUGCCAGGACCAACUCCGAGGAGGCGUCGGGGAGGGCGGGGCGUUGGCACUGGGCCCUGAGGCUCAUUUCCUGGGGAGGGGGCUUCCCACAUCCCGGGCCUGAUGAACCAGGGGUUACCCCUGCCCCCCCCCCCCAUUUCUCAGGCAGGGAAACAGGCCUGGGCAGGGCAAUUCUCUCUCUGAGGUCUCCAACUCCACCCAGCACCCCUCUCCCCGGACCUUGGGAAAUGCAGACCAGACUCAGCCCCAGCCCCACUGAUGGGCGGCUCCCCUUACAGGCCUUCCCAGGCUCAUUGCAGUCUCCCAGCCACCACCCCCCGCCCCCACGAGGUGAUGCCAUCUUGUCAGCAUUUUACAAAAGGGAGAAACUGAGGCCCCAUCACAGCUGUGAGUGGACGCGAGCCAAGGGCUCCUCCAAACGAAAACUCCAGGCCAGACCCCAGAUGCCCCCCCCCCCCAGUUCUGUUGCUUGUGGUCCUGGAGGGCAGACUCGAGCUCUUGAGUUCAGCCUCAAUUUCCCCGUGUGUAAAGUGAGGCUGACUGGGGAACCGUACGCAUAAAAUGAGAAUGUGUGCGGGCGCCCCCAUGUCACCCCUGCCAGGGCAUGUGGGCCGCACCUGGGCACCUCCCACACCGCUUGCCCACACACACAUCUGGAAACACUCCCUGGGUGACUUCACAAGCAGGAACGGCAGUGGGAGAACUGAGUUGCCUUCCCCAAGGACAGAUGAGAUGGGGGGGCGGGGUGACCUGGACCUUAUGCCUAGGCCCGCCGAUUUUUUAAGUCUGUGCUCCCUCCAGAACAGCCGCUGGGUCCUCCCAGAGCCCAGCGGCGGUUCUGGAGGGAGCCAGGGCAGAUGGCAGUGAGUCCAAGACCACCCAGCCAGACUGAUCAGACUAGUCACAUCCCAGUGACCAGCUGGGCUCUCAGCUUGGCCCCCAGCUGCAGUCUCCUCCCUGCACUGGCCCCACCCACUAGGGCCCGAUCCCAUACUGUCUCCAGCUGGCAAACUCCUUAUGACGCCCCAGCACCCUAGUACUAAUGCCCACCUCCUUCAAGCCAUGGCCCCACACCACCUCUGGGCCCCUGCAUGUCCGGCCCAGACCACAGGCCCGGGAGGACCCCUAGCCCCUCUCCAAGGCCGAGCACGUGUCUUGGCUCAUUCAUGCAUUCGGCCCUCAAGGAGUUCCUAGUCUGAUGGAGGAGGCAGCCGAGAACACUUCUCAGAACAUGGUCCAGAAGGCGCAUGCUUGUUAAAACACGCAUCUCUUGUCCCAGCACAGAUCCUUGGAAUCUCAGGGGCUAUGGGCAGACGAGGUGUUGGGAACACUGACUGGGGGACGAGGCGACAGAGCCAAGCGGCCGGUCGAGAAAGCCCACCGUCCCCAGAGUCAGGUGUGAGUCCAGUGCAUUUCUCCCAGGUGGGGUGCAGGAGGGAAAGCUCACCCCGGCAGGCCAGAAACGAGGCUGGGGAGCCCUCAGAGUUUCUUCCUGAGUCCUCAGAUGAUGGAGGCUGAGGCUGGGGAACCUCAAGUCCCCAGCCUCUCUCUGAACCCUGGAUUCCCUCCACAAACACUCAGCCUCCUUCUGCAUACCUUUGAGAUGGGGAGCUCAUUCCCAGUUGUCCCCCAGUGACCCUGACCUGUGGCUGACGCCCAUGGUCUCACCUUUGCAGGGGAGGCAGUGGACGAGGCCCAGGAAGCCCAGGAGGCUGAUCUUGUUCCCCGGGUCCUGUGCUCCUUGUAUCUGGAGCCCUCUGCCUCCGGGACUCCCAGCCUUUCCACAAUUUGUGACAGUGACGCCACACAUCAGCAUGGUCCUGGAAAGAACUGGAUCCACUGGGGGUCGGGUCAGCCCAAUGUUCCUCCUCUUUGGGACUUCAUCCCUCCUAUCUGUGGGUCUCCCUGCCCCCAACUGUCAGGGCCCUCUCCGAAUGUUCAUGGGUCCUGUACAGCCCCUCUCUGUUUGAAUUUGUAAGAAAUCAAGACAGUCUCCUAUGGCGAGGGUUGUUGGGGGUGCUGGGGUGCCAGAAUGACCAAGGCUGACCGGGUCUUGUCAUCACCAAGCCUGCGGUUUUUAAGGGCUGGAAAAACAAAAUACAUAGACGAACAAGUUAAUA